rnacentral:lncRNA from 12 species
CUGCCCCACGCAGUAGGGCUAAUCCUCGGUGAGCAUUCUAGUUUGGAAAGAGAGACAUUAGAGAGACUCACUCAUUCUCUAGAUUUCACAGAUAAGGAAAAAGAGUGUCAGAGCAUUCAUUACGUAAACUGCUUAAGGACAAUGUAAGUCUACGGUUCUGUUUCUGGGUUCGGGGAAAAAAAAAAAACUUCUGAUAAUCUAAUAGGCAGGAUAAUAAAUAUGCUGCCGUGUAUGUGUAAGCGUUUUAAAAGCAUUCAAACACACUCACAUGUAAUCUGCUUAAUAUUCUUAUCACUGCAAACUCUCAAAGAGGCUUGGUAGGCAUCAUUAUCUCAAUUGGCCGCAAUAAAGAUAGAGGAGACGUUCUGGGACAAUUAGCAGAAAUUCAGGCAAAAUAGAAGGGUGAGAAAGAGGUGGAGAGAAGUCUAUUCAAACGUGCUCUGGAAAGCGCGUACUUGCUCCUCACUAACGUGCCAGACGCCAGGGCUCUAAGGAUGAAAGACAUAGUUCACAUUCCUCAGGAGCUGGUGGUCCAACUGGGCAGUGGGGCGGGAAAGGCAAGACUCACAGCACAGCGACACAGGCUGCUUCGGGCACAGGGGCACGGGAAUGUGUGUCGCGGAAAACACACCAAGUCAGAGCAAGAUGAUCUCCUGCCGGGCCCCGAAGGGUUAUGACAGAGGAAGGAGCGGAGCAGUUCUGCAGUGAGUGUCAUUACAGCAAGGCCACCAAGUCUAACCAUCACCGAACGGCGAGCGCACAGGUCUCCAGAGCAACGCGAGGGCGCUCACAGACGGACCCUAACUAACAAGUUGCUCUGUCCGCGCGGGAAAGGACGCCGUGAAGCUGAGUGCUUGGGGUAGGGCUCCCCAGAUGGAGGCCUCUCGCCCGCCAGUGUCCCGAGCAACUCGGUAAGUAUUCCAGACUGUUCUUUUGUGAA